rnacentral:rRNA from 1 species
UACGUAGGGUGCAAGCGUUAAUCGGAAUUACUGGGCGUAAAGAGCGCGUAGGCGGUCCGAUAAGUCGGCUGUGAAAGUCAGGGGCUCAACCCUUGAAAGCCGGCCGAUACUGUCGGACUAGAGUCCGGAAGAGGCAAGUGGAAUUCCCGGUGUAGCGGUGAAAUGCGCAGAUAUCAGGAGGAACACCGGUGGCGAAGGCGGAUCUCUGGGCCAUUACUGACGCUGAGGAGCGAAAGCGUGGGGAGCGAACAGG